CGGUGCGGCUCUGGUGGUGGUGGUGGUGGUGGUGGGUCACGCAUGCGCACGUCGUGAAGGUGCUUGCGUGGCCUCCUUGGUGGUGUCUGUGUCAGCUCUCCGUGGUCUGCCCCUUGUAUCCUCCUGUAUCCUGCCUCCAUCGUGAAGCUGUGGGUUUAGGAAAUCUAUGGCUACAGGCAACUCUACGAUGGUCGCUGCUCGAGGGAGAUAGCAAAGCGGGUCCUCUUGCUUGGCUCGUGUUUCCAUAAGCCUGAGCUCUUCUUGGACUGAAAACUCCAUAAUACUUCCUCGGUGUAAGACGACGAGCGUGCCUACUCCUCCUCCGAGGUUCACUGACCAGCCAUGCAAGAAAGUGUUGUGGGAGUUGGGAUGACGUUUGCACCACCUUGUGUGUUCAGUCCUCACACGAACUUUUUCUAUUUACAUCUGUACCGAGUUUCUAGUGGGUUGGUUGUCUGUAGAGAUUAUUUAGUUUCAUAUAGAAUUUAAUUGAAAUUAACUACUAGUAUAAUAAUAUUAAUAGCGCAUGUUCGUCGUCACUGGAGGCACUAAUUUAUUUUUAUUUGUAACGUGACUAUUAUAUUUAUUUAUUCAGCUAGAUAAGGUAUGUUUUUAGGCUUUUAGGUAUUUUGCAAGUAAGGUUAAGUAAUCCGUAAAAACCUUAAAAACCUAUCAGCGAUGUGUUAGGUGUAUCUCUGUCCAGCAGUCUAUAAAAAAUAAAAAAAAGAACUCCACUAGCAAAAAGCUCAUUGUGCGAAAACUAUAUGAAAACAACGAGCUGGGUACCAGACCAACUGCGCCUCGGAGGUGGUAGGUAAACGUGGAAGAGAACAAAAACUGCGUUUUUCUUUUGCGUGAAGGUGCAUGUUAUUUAUAUAAUAAAACCUAAAAAACA